rnacentral:ncRNA from 1 species
GCACGGUGACGGACGAAAAAAGGGAGGGGAGAGGCCCAACCAAACGGCGGAGAACUAGGUUUUGCUAGCGGGCUGCUGGGAUGGGGUCAGGCUAAGACACCUGACUGUGCUCAUUUGCGUAGCUGCUGCGUCAGGUAUCUCAUACGCCUUUGCGAGCGCCUUCCUACUUCAACAGCUGAAGGCGGUUGUGGUGUGCUGCUUUUGGUGUUGUCUCGCAAGUAUUAACUACUCCUACAGGUCAUCCAGGUUCGGAGAUCUUUAAACGAUCCUAACCGUUCCUCCUCGAAUGAAAGGUAAUCUAGGGAUAACGCGUUGUUCUCUCCGGCAAGUUCGUAUUGACUGGGAAAGUUGGCACCUUAAUAUCGGAUCGUCGCAUCCUGAAGCUAAAGUAGGUGGGAAGGCUUGGCCUUUUCGCCCAAUAAAGCGGCACGUGAUCCGGAAUCAGAACGCCGCGGAACAGCUCAGUCCAUAUAGGGUGUAGGCUUGAAAACACUCAAAAGUUUUCCACAAUGUGUUGUACUGAUGGGUUCAUCGUUAACUAAUCUUUCAGACUGAAAAAUAGUUUUGAUUUGAAAGAAUUAACAUUAGCUUUACUCA